rnacentral:rRNA from 1 species
GAUGAACGCUGACAGAAUGCUUAACACAUGCAAGUCAACUUGAACUUCGGUUUGGGUGGCGGACGGGUGAGUAACGCGUAAAGAACUUGCCUCACAGAUAGGGACAACAUUUGGAAACGAAUGCUAAUACCUGAUAUUAUGAUUUUAGGGCAUCCUAGGAUUAUGAAAGCUAUAUGCGCUGUGAGAGAGCUUUGCGUCCCAUUAGCUAGUUGGAGAGGUAACGGCUCACCAAGGCGAUGAUGGGUAGCCGGCCUGAGAGGGUGAUCGGCCACAAGGGGACUGAGACACGGCCCUUACUCCUACGGGAGGCAGCAGUGGGGAAUAUUGGACAAUGGACCAAGAGUCUGAUCCAGCAAUUCUGUGUGCACGAUAAAGUUUUUCGGAAUGUAAAGUGCUUUCAGUUGGGAAGAAAAAAAUGACGGUACCAACAGAAGAAGUGACGGCUAAAUACGUG